CAAUCCUAACCUUGGAAUGAACACAGUCAACUUUUACUGGACUGAUUCCUAAUUUGUACUUUUCAGCAUUUGUUGGGUCUGGAUGUUUAACAUUGCAAUCUUCAAACUGUCUUACAGUUACAUGUAGUCUUACACUGACCUGAACCACUGCAUGAUGUCAACUGUCAGGUCCUUCAAAGAAAAAAGAUCAUCUCUAAGGCACAAGAGAAACCUUUCAUCUGAUCGACACAUGGAUUUCAGGAUGGAGAGGGAGGAGGAGGACAGCAUCGGGGCAGAUGAUUGGACCCAGGCAUCAAACAGAGGAAAGGGGCCUGGUCGAGUCUCCCUAUGUGCCAGAAGUUUGCUGGAGUUGGGAUCUAAACAUCAUUGAGUGACGGCACAUUCAUCAUCAUGUAUCUUUAAUCAUGAAACAUUUAAAAUAAUGAAUGAUUUUUUUUAAAUCUUUCUGUUCAAGCUGUUUAUACCAGAUGACACGCUGGCUGGCUUCUACCUUUAACAUCAGAUGCAACAACUGUUUUGUUGUUGUUGUGUUUUGAUUAAUGUGAAAGAAAAGCAUUUAUUAAACUUUUCAGUCUGCA